CCCUUAGAUGUUCUGGGCCGCACGCGCGCUACACUGAUGCAUUCAACGAGUUUCUUCCUGGUCCGAGAGGAAUGGGUAACCUUUUGAAAGUGCAUCGUGAUAGGGAUAGACUAUUGCAAUUAUUGGUCUUCAACGAGGAAUUCCUAGUAGACGUAGUUCAUCAGACUGCAUCGAUUACGUCCCUGCCCUUUGUACACACCGCCCGUCGCUCCUACCGAUUGAAUGCUCAGGUGAGCCAUUCGGACUUUCAUCAUGCUGGUUUCCAGUUUUGAUGAAGGAAAGUCUUGCGAACCUUAUCAUUUAGAGGUAGGAGAAGUCGUAACA
rnacentral:rRNA from 1 species